rnacentral:rRNA from 1 species
UACGUAGGGGGCAAGCGUUGUCCGGAUUUAUUGGGCGUAAAGAGCGUGUAGGCGGUUCGGUAGGUCCGUUGUGAAAACUCGAGGCUCAACCUCGAGACGCCGAUGGAAACCCUCGAACUAGAGUCCGGAAGAGGAGAAUGGAAUUCCUGGUGGUAGCGGUGAAAUGCGCAGAUAUCAGGAAGAACACCCGUGGCUAAGGCGGUUCUCUGGGCCUUACCUGACGCUGAGGAGCGAAAGCGUGGGGAGCGAACAGG